UAUCGUUGUUACGACAAGUGCGACA
rnacentral:siRNA from 1 species